GUACCAAUCUUGAUUGUUUAUACUUGCACGAGGUUGGGUCGCAAGAGGAUAGCUUUAGUAAAGACGAAAUCAUAUCAGCUUACACAAGGAGUAGAGUUCAACAAAUUGCUGGUGCCGUUAAUACUAUGCAACGGCGAUCAGGGAGUGUGUUACCGCCGCCAGCAGAGGAGUACUGCAGUAACAACUCUGCUUCUGCUGACAAACCUAUUAGUAAAAAUGCUGCAACUAAUUCAGCACCCAGUGUUAGAGGCUCCAGCUCCCCACCAAAUAGUAGCUCUGGUAGAUCUGCGGCUCUUCCUGCUGGAGCUUUAUGGGGAACACGUGCAUCAAAUAAUCAACACCCACCUGCCAGUGUACCAUGUUCUAAUGGACCACUUAAUAAGAAGCCUCAGACGUGUAAUCCAACGGUAUCUUAUACAGCUGUUGAAAGGACAAGUCAGGCUUCGUUACUGCCUGCCUAUGCAGGAAAGAAAGUAGUACAUACUGAAGAAAGUGUAACUUCUCAAGAGAAAGGUAAGAUAGACACUUUAGAACCUGUUAAGCAGCAUGUAGGAGCAGACCCUCAUAUCUAUACUUCUGAGAACCCCACUAUUCCGGCACCUCUGGACAGUCAGCUACAUAGUGUCCCGUCCAUGUCUUUGAAGGACAGAGAUAAACAAGUGAUACCAACCAGUAGUACAAAUGCCUUGGAUAUUUCUGUCAAGUCUAGUGGACCUGGUUUUACAAAAUAUUUCAAUGAUACCACGGAUGCUAAGAUCCAGAAUGUAUGCCUUGAUAUGUCGUCAUUGAGCAUUGGUAGACAUGAAAAAACACAGGGCAACUGUAUUGAUCAAAAUAAGGAGUCCUUGACCGGGGAAUAUGCGACUUCUGCAGAUGAGAUUUGUAUUACAAGAGAGAAGUCUGACUUGAGAUUGGAUACACUGAGCAAAGUAACACAAGUUACUACUUCCGAAAUGGAGAAUGAUUUGCUAACCUUUAAUGAGCAGAGACAUAGGGAUCCCGAAGUAGUUAUUGACAAAGUUUAUUCACCAAAUCUUCCCCCUUCUUUGCACUCCCCAGCUCAGCCUUGUUGGUAUUCCUCUCAGCUGACUAAUGGUGGUGGACCUGUUAGUGCCAAUAUGCAGUUAGACAGGAGAACUGAUUCAGUAUCACAGCCUUCGCGUGAAUCAUUGACUAAUGGAUACCCGGAGAAUGUAUCAAAUUGCGUGGCGGGUUUGCAUACUAUUGAUAGAAGUUAUUAUCCGUUGCCUGACGAGGGUAAGAUGAUGCAUGUGAAAAGGUUUCAAGGUGAAGCUCCUAGCGAGAACAGUAGUACUAAUGUAGAUAUUGGAGAGAACAGUAUUAUAUCUAAUAUUUUGUCCCUGGAUUUUGAUCCUUGGAAUGAAUCAUUAACUUCUCCUCAGAACCUUGCCAAGUUGUUGGGAGAAACUGAUGACCGACAAGGGUCUGUUAGAGUGUCAAGCUCAAGAAAAUUAACCAGUAACCAAUCAAGAUUCUCUUUUGCAAGAGAAGAACCAACCACCAAUGCAUUAGCUGAUUAUCAACCAUCUCUUAAUUACAUUGAGCAAAGUUUUAAUCAUUAUCAUCAUGGUCAUGAUUUUCCAAAUAGCAGAAAUGAUAAACUUGAUUAUAUUGGUACUCGUAAUGGUUUUUCCAUGGCUAAUAAUGAGGAAACAGUUGGUUUUGGCAACAGCUUUUCUCAUCUCUCUUCUAAUAAGCUAUCAGGUCAGUGCAUGGCUCAUCUUUGUAGUUCCUUCUGUCUUAACUGCAUCUUAUAUUGUAAAAUAUUGUUUCAAGUUUUGUUUUAAUUGUACUCCUUCAAAAGAAAGAAGAAAAUAAAAAGGUUGAGUGCCUUUGGAUUAAACCUUUUUGGUGGAUUUUCA
rnacentral:misc_RNA from 1 species